rnacentral:misc_RNA from 1 species
UUGUAACAUGCUUCUUGCCAUCUCAACUACCAUACGAUUUUUUCGUUCUGCCACCCCGUUUUGCUCAGGUGUAUAUGGUGUGGUCAGCUCCCUAUGUAUCCCAUGCUCUUCACAGAAAUCAUUGAAAUCUUUGGAGGUAAAUUUGCCACCUCUAUCAGUUCGUAACACCUUGAUACACUUGCCACCUUGCUUCUCUACUAGCACUUUAAACCUCUUGAAUGCUCCAAAAGCUUCAGAUUUGAGUUGAAGAAAAUACACCCAGCUCAUUCUGCUAUAGUCAUCUGUAAACAAUAAGAAAUACCAACUUCCUCCAAAGGAUUCAGUUUUCAUAGGGCCACAUAGAUCAGCAUGCAUAAGUUCUAGAUUACUUGAAGCUCUCCAUGAUCUACCAAUAGGAAAUGGUUUUUUACUUUGUUUCCCAUAUACACAUGCUUCACACAAAUUUACUGAUUCAAUGUUAGGUAACCCAGACACCAUUUCUUUUUGAUGUAGCAAUUUUAAACCUUUCAUGUUCAAGUGCCCAUAUCUUAAAUGCCACAAUUUAGAUUCAUUUUUUCCUUUAACAGCUAAAGCAUGUUUUUCAAUACAAGAGAUUUCAAGGGGAAACAGCUUGUUUUGAGUCAUGCAUACCUCAACUACAAUCUGGUUUGUUUUUUGAUCUUUGAUCACGCAUGAAGAGUUUUCGAAUUGUAUUGAGAAGCCAUUGGCCACCAAUUGUCCUACGUUCAAUAAAUUCUGUGUUAGAUUGGGAACAAAAAACACGUUGUGUAGAAGCUUUGUGUCUCCAUCGCUACUAACUACUACAAUGCCUCUUCCUUCCACUUGCAUUUGUUUAUCAUCUCCAAGCCUCACCUUGAUCUUAUAAGAUUCAUCUAGCUCUUUAAACAACAAACGCAGACCUGUCAUAUGGUUAGAACAACCACUGUCCAGAAACCAAAUGUCACCUGAAACUUCUGUUUUUUCAAGUUUAGCCAUAAAAAGCUUGAAUUCCUCCUUUUCUUUCUCCUCCUCUGCAUAAUUCACUUGUUGAUCUUUGUACCAACAAUCAGCUUUUAUAUGGCCAUACUGCUUGCAAUGAUAACGUUGAAUGCCAUUCUUGUGUUUGCUUUGCUCUCCAGAUUGCCUUUGUUGCCUGUCAGAUCGACCUCUGCCUCUUCCUCGACCACGACCAUGGCCACAAAAUCCCCCUCUUCCUCGGCCUCUACUUGCUGAAGUUUUAGUUUCUCCAGUUUUGAUGGUUGACUCCUUCACUUGAAAUGCCUGUUCUUCAUUCUUUUCAAGUGAUCUAUUGAUUCUAGACUCAUGAGCUUGCAAUGACCCCAUUAGUUCAUCAAAUGAAAAAACUGAUAAAUCCUUAGACUCUUCUAUUGCAGCAACUAAAUGAUCAAAUUUUGGAGUUAGACUUCUUAAUACCUUUGCAACUACCGUCUGAUCAGAAACCAGCUCUCUGUAGGAUCUCAUUUGACUAACAAUUGCCAUUGCUCUUUACAGAAACUCUUGCACCGAUUCCCCACUUUUCAUGAACAAAGUCUCAAAAUCACGUCGAAGCGAUUGCAAUCUCACCAUGAUCACUUUUGAAUUACCUUGAUACUCCUUUUGCAAAAUUGACCAUGCUUGCUUUGAUGUGGAUGCUCCUGCAGUUCGAGAGAAGAUACUAUCAUGAACAGCUUGCUGAAUAAUCACUAGAGCCUUUGAAUCUUUCUUUUUGUUAUCCUUCAAUAUGUUUUAUUCAUCUAGAUCUGCAUAGCCAUGCUCUACCAAGUCCCAAAGAUCUUGAGAUUUGAGUAGAGUUCUCAUUCUGAUACUCCAGAAUUCGUAACCUUCUCCUUUGAAAAUGGGAAUGAGUGGAUGUGCUGCACUCAUUACAUUACCAUUGCCGUUGCCAUGGUAUUUCACUCAGCUCACUUGUUUAGCUCUCUUUCUGCUCACUCAACUUGGCUCUGAUGCCACAAUGUUAGAGUCACUCAAGAACUCUCAAAUAUCGCACACGAAAUGAAUAAACAACAAACUGAUUCUAGGAGGAAGAAUUUCAAACAAUUGAAGUGCAGAGUCAUGCAAGAAUCUUGUUACUGCUGAAUGCACUUUAUUCAUAAUCAAAGAUGCCUUUUAAAUAUGCUUACAUGACAACUGAAAAACACAACAAAUAUGCAGAAAAUAUUGGCACUAAACAAUUAUACUUGCAACUGAAACAGAGAAACUCAAGGACCAAAUAAUAACAAACUUAGACUAAGUCAAGAGUAGUAAAUAAAAGAAAGUACUGCUUUCAAUUUAGAAUCAUUUUUUUAACAGUUUUAGAGGAACAAAGUUUUGGAGAAGUGGAGGGAUACAAGAGGCUGAGGCCACCUCAGGUUUCAAGAGAUAUUCUUUGACUGUUUGCGAUAGGAAAAAUCUGGGUUCCAGCUCUUUUACACUCUCAAAAACUCUACCUAAGGAACCAGACACAUUCAUGUGUUUUUCUUGAAGAAUUCCAACAAUGGAACCUAAAGGUAUCUGUAGGAAACCAAAGAGAAGGUCCACGAAAGCCUUCCCUGUCUCUGCAUAUAACACCUUGUUUGAAUGAUUGUCCACAAGGAAUUGCAAACUUAUAUCUUCAGUUUCCUUUGCAGCUGCGGUGGAGCGAGAUGCCUCCAUCUGGAACAUUAUACACUCCAUCACUGUUUAAUUUUGAGUUUUUUCUUUGGGGAACUUUGGCCUAGAAAGUGUUUGUGUUAUAUAUAGUAGAAAACCACCAAUCCCAUCUACAAACUUAAGCUUUAACUGAUUAUUUUGCGAUAAUCAAGAGGAGGAAAAUGAUAAUAUAGGCUCUUUUGCUUUUCCUAAAGCAAUCUGGAACUGUCGGCACCAUAAUGAAGUAUUUGUCGUGUCUCUAGCACAGGCUAUGUAAAAGUAAAUGGGGAAUCUUUUAUCAUCAACCUGCACUGACUCUCUAUUAUUGCGCUUGCACUGCUAAAACUUCAUUCACCGCCCCAUCACCGUACAGUUUAGAAUUAAGAUGUAAUCGGCCUGUUUCAAUUCACAAUUAAAAUCAGACUAAAUUGAUCAAAUUUCAUUGAAUCGAAUCGAAAUGAAGAAGAAGAAGAGGAAGCUGAUGUUUCUUUCUUCCGUACAUUUCCGGUAAAAUCUGAAGCAAAGUGGAUGGCUAGGAGGGCCCCUGGAAUAGCUAGUGCAUCAAAGAGAUAAGAUUCUAAAAGUAGCAUCAGCGCUCUCUCAGUAUGUGACUUUGAUCAAAAUCCAGCUUUGUAGUCUCCCCUAAAGCAUACACUUUUCUUCGUUAUGUGUGAAAUUUUGCUUUUUCUUAUGUUGG